CCUACGGGCGGCAGCAGUGGGGAAUAUUGGACAAUGGGCGAAAGCCUGAUCCAGCCAUGCCGCGUGUGUGAAGAAGGCCUUCGGGUUGUAAAGCACUUUCAGUGGGGAAGAAAGCCUUGGGGCUAAUACCCUCGAGGAAGGACAUCACCCACAGAAGAAGCACCGGCUAACUCCGUGCCAGCAGCCGCGGUAAUACGGAGGGUGCGAGCGUUAAUCGGAAUUACUGGGCGUAAAGCGCGCGUAGGCGGUCUGAUAAGCCGGUUGUGAAAGCCCCGGGCUCAACCUGGGAACGGCAUCCGGAACUGGCAGGCGAGAGUGCAGGAGAGGAAGGUAGAAUUCCCGGGGGAGCGGUGAAAUGCGGAGAGAUCGGGAGGAAUACCAGUGGCGAAGGCGGCCUUCUGGACUGACACUGACGCUGAGGUGCGAAAGCGUGGGUAGCAAACAGGAUUAGAUACCCUGGUAGUC
rnacentral:rRNA from 1 species